CCCAGAUGUGGUUCUCAACCUUCUAGGCUAAGAAACCGAUGACACCCACCUUCCAGGAAUGGGACCUCCUCCUCUCAAGGACAGACUCACUUAACCACAUUUGUGAAAUAAAAAAGGACAGUUUACAAAUGUAUAGUACUGUAUAUAUCCAAUUGUCAUAAAUAUCCCAACACAACAAGCUCUGUCACUAAAAUCAUAAUCGAACUAUAAAUGUAUUAAUUUACAGCGAGAAUAACUUUUCCAGAAACUAGAUAUUUCAGAGUUUCAAUACUGAGCUUUGUGGUUUUUUUUUUUUUUUUUUUUUUUUUUUGGCAUAUUGACUUAGAAAGCCAAGGAAUAAUGCAAAGGUUUUCUAGUGAGCGUUGAAUCUGAUCAAAGUAAAACGGAUGAAACAAAUGUACAAUGGAAGUUCUUGCCAAUGACCCCAAAUC
rnacentral:lncRNA from 10 species